UAGUAUGGGGAUCUGCCCGAUAGAGGGGAAUAACUACUGGAAACGGUGGCUAAUACUGCAUAAUGUCUACGGACCAAAGCAGGGGCUCUUCGGACCUUGCACUAUCGGAUGAACCCAUAUGGGAUUAGCUAGUAGGUGGGGUAAAGGCUCACCUAGGCGACGAUCUCUAGCUGGUCUGAGAGGAUGAUCAGCCACACUGGGACUGAGACACGGCCCAG
rnacentral:rRNA from 1 species